CGGUGUCCAACGGGUGAGAAAGAGCAGCGGCCUUAGUGCGGUCCCUGCGAGCUCGGUGAGCUUGAGACCUGUCUGGACAGCUGGCACUGUAGUGCAUGCAGGUCUGCUUGCUGGCAAAUGGUGGAGCUGGUCUGGUUCCUUUUUCAGGGCGAUGUUGGUGAAGAUCGCUGCAGGAGCCCCUGCCUGUCUGCACAGAAUCACAGAACCAUGGAACAGCCCAGGCUGGAAGAGAGCUGGCAAGAUCAUUGGUCCUACUUUCUGGGAGGGAGACCAGAUGAGAUUAUCGAGCUCCCUGGCAGCUUGAAAACCUCCCGUGACAGGGACCGUACCACCACAUCCCUGUGUUUCAGUCAUUGGUUGUUGUCACCAGAAGAAAAUUUAUGUUGCGCCUUGUUUUCUCCAUGCGGUCUUUUGUGAGGAGAGCCUCCACCCUCUGUAGCACUCUGGGCAGGUUGUCCUCACCACCCCGAUUAGUGGUAUCAGCAGCCUGGGUGAAGGUGUUUUCAAGUCCAUCACCCAAAUCCUUGUGAAGAUGGACAGUGUGGAGCCCAGUGGCAAUCUCAGGGAGACCCCACUUGCAACAGGCUGCCACCCUGAGUUAAAAACACUGAUCUCUGAGUGCAGCCUCUUGGCCGAUUUUCUAUGCAUCUUGCAAACCGCCUUGCAAAACACAGUCUGUGUCUCACCAUCUAAUCCAAGAGAAGGCUUCCUCAUCGGUGGAAGCAGAGUGAGAAGACUUACAGUGUAGUAAGUGGCUUACAGGACUUCCUAGCUGCAUUCAUUUCUGUGGCUGCCAAACCCAGAGGGAUGUGGAGUGGAACCCUGCUGGAAAUAGAUCAAUGGAGAAUGGGUAUAGGAUUGCUUUCUCAGUUGAGCAACCAAAUAAGAGGGAGGGAAAUAAUUCAGAAGACAGCCAAAAUAAAUAUUAUUUUCUUCUUCCUUUGCUGUGUGUGGGGGGAAAAAGUAAACCCCCCCAACUUGUAUCAGAUUAAAUGUUGUUCGGUCUGAAA